CCUACGGGAGGCAGCAGUGGGGAAUAUUGCACAAUGGGGGAAACCCUGAUGCAGCGACGCCGCGUGAGCGAUGAAGUAUUUCGGUAUGUAAAGCUCUAUCGCAGGGAAGAAAAUGACGGUACCUGACUAAGAAGCCCCGGCUAACUACGUGCCAGCAGCCGCGGAAAUACGUAGGGGGCAAGCGUUAGCCGGAUUUACUGGGUGUAAAGGGAGCGUAGGCGGUCCUGCAAGCUAGAUGGGAAAGCCCGGGGCUCAACCCCGGGACUGCAUUUGGAACUGUAAGGCUAGAGUGUCGGAGAGGCAGGCGGAAUUCCUAGUGUAGCGGUGAAAUGCGUAGAUAUUAGGAGGAACACCAGUGGCGAAGGCGGCCUGCUGGACGAUGACUGACGUUGAGGCUCGAAAGCGUGGGGAGCAAACAGGAUUAGAUACCCCGGUAGUC
rnacentral:rRNA from 1 species